rnacentral:rRNA from 2 species
AGAGUUUGAUCAUGGCUCAGAUUGAACGCUGGCGGCAGGCCUAACACAUGCAAGUCGAACGGUAACAGGAAGCAGCUUGCUGCUUUGCUGACGAGUGGCGGACGGGGGAGUAAUGUCUGGGAAACUGCCUGAUGGAGGGGGAUAACUACUGGAAACGGUAGCUAAUACCGCAUAACGUCGCAAGACCAAAGAGGGGGACCUUAGGGCCUCUUGCCAUCGGAUGUGCCCAGAUGGGAUUAGCUAGUAGGUGGGGUAACGGCUCACCUAGGCGACGAUCCCUAGCUGGUCUGAGAGGAUGACCAGCCACACUGGAACUGAGACACGGUCCAGACUCCUACGGGAGGCAGCAGUGGGGAAUAUUGCACAAUGGGCGCAAGCCUGAUGCAGCCAUGCCGCGUGUAUGAAGAAGGCCUUCGGGUUGUAAAGUACUUUCAGCGGGGAGGAAGGGAGUAAAGUUAAUACCUUUGCUCAUUGACGUUACCCGCAGAAGAAGCACCGGCUAACUCCGUGCCAGCAGCCGCGGUAAUACGGAGGGUGCAAGCGUUAAUCGGAAUUACUGGGCGUAAAGCGCACGCAGGCGGUUUGUUAAGUCAGAUGUGAAAUCCCCGGGCUCAACCUGGGAACUGCAUCUGAUACUGGCAAGCUUGAGUCUCGUAGAGGGGGGUAGAAUUCCAGGUGUAGCGGUGAAAUGCGUAGAGAUCUGGAGGAAUACCGGUGGCGAAGGCGGCCCCCUGGACGAAGACUGACGCUCAGGUGCGAAAGCGUGGGGAGCAAACAGGAUUAGAUACCCUGGUAGUCCACGCCGUAAACGAUGUCGACUUGGAGGUUGUGCCCUUGAGGCGUGGCUUCCGGAGCUAACGCGUUAAGUCGACCGCCUGGGGAGUACGGCCGCAAGGUUAAAACUCAAAUGAAUUGACGGGGGCCCGCACAAGCGGUGGAGCAUGUGGUUUAAUUCGAUGCAACGCGAAGAACCUUACCUGGUCUUGACAUCCACGGAAGUUUUCAGAGAUGAGAAUGUGCCUUCGGGAACCGUGAGACAGGUGCUGCAUGGCUGUCGUCAGCUCGUGUUGUGAAAUGUUGGGUUAAGUCCCGCAACGAGCGCAACCCUUAUCCUUUGUUGCCAGCGGUCCGGCCGGGAACUCAAAGGAGACUGCCAGUGAUAAACUGGAGGAAGGUGGGGAUGACGUCAAGUCAUCAUGGCCCUUACGACCAGGGCUACACACGUGCUACAAUGGCGCAUACAAAGAGAAGCGACCUCGCGAGAGCAAGCGGACCUCAUAAAGUGCGUCGUAGUCCGGAUUGGAGUCUGCAACUCGACUCCAUGAAGUCGGAAUCGCUAGUAAUCGUGGAUCAGAAUGCCACGGUGAAUACGUUCCCGGGCCUUGUACACACCGCCCGUCACACCAUGGGAGUGGGUUGCAAAAGAAGUAGGUAGCUUAACCUUCGGGAGGGCGCUUACCACUUUGUGAUUCAUGACUGGGGUGAAGUCGUAACAAGGUAACCGUAGGGGAACCUGCGGUUGGAUCACCU